AGUGAACGCUGGCGGUAGGCCUAACACAUGCAAGUCGAACGGCAGCACAGUAAGAGCUUGCUCUUACGGGUGGCGAGUGGCGGACGGGUGAGGAAUACAUCGGAAUCUACUUUUUCGUGGGGGAUAACGUAGGGAAACUUACGCUAAUACCGCAUACGACCUACGGGUGAAAGCAGGGGAUCUUCGGACCUUGCGCGAUUGAAUGAGCCGAUGUCGGAUUAGCUAGUUGGCGGGGUAAAGGCCCACCAAGGCGACGAUCCGUAGCCGGUCUGAGAGGAUGAUCAGCCACACUGGAACUGAGACACGGUCCAGACUCCUACGGGAGGCAGCAGUGGGGAAUAUUGGACAAUGGGCGCGAGCCUGAUCCAGCCAUACCGCGUGGGUGAAGAAGGCCUUCGGGUUGUAAAGCCCUUUUGUUGGGAAAGAAAAGCAGCAGGUUAAUACCCCGCUGUUCUGACGGUACCCAAAGAAUAAGCACCGGCUAACUUCGUG
rnacentral:rRNA from 1 species